CAACCCUCAAGCCUAGCUUGGUAUUGGAUCUCGUCGGUCACACGACGGGUCUUAAAGUCAUUGGCGGCGCCGUUGGGUCCUGAACGUAGUAAUAUAUUUCGUUACAGGUGCCCCGCGUGCUUCUGCCAUUAAACCCCCAAUUUUCAAU
rnacentral:misc_RNA from 1 species